UUUGUAAUGUCAGUUGUAAAGUUGAUACAACAAAUCACAGCACAGAUUGAUGGGUACACUCCCUGCUUUUACAUCCUGCUUUGCUCCUAUGGGUCCACUCGCAAUGGCCGCUAGUCCACCCAUUAUGCCAUCGUUGACUUGAAUGGGGAAGCUGUUCUAUUCAUUCUAUUUCCAUGUGUAGGACGACAUGGAUCAGGAGAAACCCUUUUCAGAGGGCAGCAAGCGUGAAAGGAAUGCAGUGCUGAGAUGGCAGAGCUCUCCCUCACUGUGAGGAAGACUAGUACUCUGAAUGAUGUGUGGGGAGCUUUUAGCGCCCGUAUUGGCAGCAGAAAAAGCAUCACCAAAGUUGGUGCUACACGCCACUAGUGGAGUAGUCGUUCAGUGGCUACAGAGGGCUGAGAACAACAUCUGAGGACAACUCCAGCAAGUCAACUCCAUCACCACCAUCACCAACCCUGUCCCAACUCGACUACCACCCAGCUCGACUACCACCCAGCUUGUUUGUUUGUUACUUUUCAAGCAAUUAAAGAUGUUGUUGUUUUGUUUA